rnacentral:rRNA from 1 species
UGGGGCAUACGGGGGGCAGCAGUGAGGAAUAUUGGUCAAUGGCCGAGAGGCUGAACCAGCCAAGUCGCGUGAGGGAAGACGGCCCUACGGGUUGUAAACCUCUUUUGUCGGGGAGCAAAGCGAACCACGUGUGGUUCAUUGAGAGUACCCGAAGAAAAAGCAUCGGCUAACUACGUGCCAGCAGCCGCGGUAAUACGUAGGGUGCGAGCGUUAAUCGGAAUUACUGGGCGUAAAGGGUGUGCAGGCGGUUUUGCAA